AGUUCAGAUUUCCGCUCGCAAAAGCUGGUGGGAUUGGGACCCGGCACUAGAGCGUAGCGGCGAGCCCCCAACGCUGAGAGGUGUUUCUGCGGCUGCGCAGGGGCGCCGGCGCAUGGGCGCGCGAUUCUUCCAGCGCCGGAGCCGCUUCGUGGAGAACGCUCGGCGUGGUAGCAUGAAUCUCAUCAGCACAGAGAGAAAGCUUCACUGAAAACCCAUUGCAGCAACAUAGUUGAGUGUGACACGGCACAGAGGAGACUCGAUGAGCCUGAAGGACAUGGAGCCCGUGGUGCAGCCACAAGUGUUGUGAGCCGGGCUCGGCUUCAUCUGCGAGUCAUCCCCGGGGGCUUGGGCUGAGUCACAGCCACACCCGCCCAGGCAAAGCUGAAGUCACCAGCCGAGGAGGACGCUUGGGUAACUGGUUACCUGCAGCACUGGCCUUCCUCACAGAAAAAGGCGAAGCAUAAGGGAUGCCAUGGCUCAUCUUUAAGUGGCGAUUUUUCACAGCGGGUAAGUCUUUUUCCCCCAGGCCACCCCACCGAGUCAUCUGCACCAUCACCUGGCCAGUAACAGUGAACACUUAUUGAGGUCUAAGUCCGUGCCAGGCACCGUGCUGCAUUCUUCCCAUGCCUUACCUCGCUUACCCCUCAAACUGUAUGAGCUUCGUGCUACUGAUAUCCCCACAUUCCAGAUGAGGGGACUGAGCACAAAGAAGUAAGCUGCCCUAAAUCUUUCAGCUUGUAU